GGGUACCUGUAGUGCAAAACAGCAACGUGCUACAUCCAUUCGGCGCAUCAAAUAAAUCAUAUUUACCCCGCUGCUAUUGUCAACAAGUCACGCAUAGCCCGAGGAUUUACAUUUAUUUGUCAAAAUUCCGAAUCCGUGGGCGCAGCCAUUUUGCUAGUUAUUUACUCCAGCUCAAAGCUAACUAUGACGUAGGAACGUUGAAAGGAAUUCAGCCAAUCCGGAGCCACUUCUACACGCGUUGCUUCUUGGGAUAGAUCGGUGGCCUCAAACCAGUUCACGUCUGGAGUUCACGCCAAGAUGGCGCAGUGCAAGGCGUUCGGUUGUCUCAAUAAUAAACGGAGUCACAAGACUAAAAAGUUCUUUUGCGUGCCCAAACCUACUACAGAGGAAAAGAAGGUGCUCGCGAAGAAGUGGCUGCACAAUUUAGGAACCGGGCAUACUUUUAAAACAUUUACAUUCAGCAAAAACUCCGUGGUAUGUGAAGAUCACUUCGAUCCAGAUUGCUAUGAGAGAAACAUGCAGGCCGAAUUGUUGGGAUAUCAGGGCCGGACCAGGUUGAAGCCCGAUGCUGUACCAACAGUAUUUGUUCAUCGAAAAGCAGCAGCAUCAGAUAAAGGCCGCAAUGUUCGUGUUGCGAACAGAGAUAAACAAAAGUUUCUUCAUGAACUGUCAAAAGCCUCAGCAGCAAGUUCAGUAGCACCAGCACAAAGCCCUCCAUCAUCAGGUGAUUGUGACUCUGAAGAACCAGUUCAGCUGGGACAGCCAGAUCCUGUAUAUCCUGCCAAUGUGUGUCAUCGUGAGGUCCAGACAGACCCAGUACAGAUAUUUCC